AGGAAGUAGUUGAAGGACUUUCACUUACUUCAAGCAGGCUUCAAGAAGAACAUUUUUCUCAAGGUAUUCUCAGGAAAACUCUUAAGAAUUCAUUAUGUCAGCCUUCAUUGAGAAGUUCGUAGAAAGCAGUGUUACGACAAAUUUGACAGCUUGCUUCAUCCUGGCUCUUCUGGAGAAGAUUAUGGAGAUGGAGUUUGCCUGUCCCUGUGAUCCUAAAUGGAACGCCUGGGUUACAGCUGGGUUUUUUGGAGUUCCUGCCAUUCUGGUAUUUCUCCUGGUUUUGUUGAUCCAUGUCAAGCGAGAAGAAAGUUCUUUAAAAACUUUGUCCAGCAUUCUCCCGGCCUACUUAUGGGUGGAUUUUCUUUUUCUUAAUGGUGAAUACUUUGUUUGUGGAAACACAGACUGGCCUGGCAAAUAUGUUUCUGUUGAUAAAAGUUAUCUGAAGUGGUGUUCACCAACUAACACAACAAGGUUCUCCGAACUGCUGAACCAGUCGCAUGACUUUUACAUUUUGUCCCAGAACAUCGGAAUCGUGAUGCUCAUCAUUUUUGUCGCACUUGUCCUUGUGCUUGUCAUAAAGGCGUACAAACAAAGCGGAUGACACAGAAAACAAUCACCGAAAGAGGAGGACCAGGAACGUUAAGUAUAAAGGAUGUUUAAGUAUUUGAGUAUUAGAAGAGCUUUGUUAUGCACAUUAGUGCAUAUUAACAUGUUAAUCCUUCAAUCUUCAGUUUUUGCCCAAUUUUUCUGUCUCUAGUAUACACAACUCCAGUAGGAUGAUACUGUAAUGAUGCUACGUGUCUGUUGGAUGUAUAAGAAGGCAAGUGUUUGUUAAUAUGAUGACAAAGUGAUAAUGAGUCAGGGAUGUGUCUGUUGGCUACCUUGUUUUGGAGUUUGUCUAUCCUCUAAUGGCAAAACAAUCAGCAGAAAUACUCCUUCAGGAACAAACGAUGUACUUGAAGAAAGUUAUUUUACAAAGAAAUACAAAUGGAAUGUGUAUCAUUUAAAUAUCUACUCAAAUAUGUCAUAAUUGUUGUGUUGUUCAAAAAGUCAUUUAUUUGUAAAACAUUUCAG